GACGAACGCUGGCGGCGUGCUUAACACAUGCAAGUCGAGCGGUAAGGCCUCUUCGGUGGUACACGAGCGGCGAACGGGUGAGUAACACGUGGGUGACCUUCCCUCAGCUCUGGGAUAAGCCUGGGAAACUGGGACUAAUACCGGAUAUGACCUUUCCUUGCAUGGGGUUUGGUGGAAAGUUUUUUCGGCUGGGGAUGGGCCCGCGGCCUAACAGCUUGUUGGUGGGGUGAUGGCGUACCAAGGCGCCGACGGGUAGCCGGCCGGAGAGGGCGACCGGCCACACCGGGACUGAGGCACGGCCCAGACUCGUACGGGAGGGAGGAGUAGGGAGUAUUGCGCAAUGAGCGGAAGCCUGACGCAGCGACGCCGGGUGGGGGGUGACGGCCUUCGGGUUGUAAACCUCGCUCGACACCGACGAAUGUGAAGGGAAGGGGUAGAAGAAGCACCGCCCAACUACUU
rnacentral:rRNA from 1 species